rnacentral:rRNA from 1 species
UACGUAGGGUGCAAGCGUUGUCCGGAAUUAUUGGGCGUAAAGAGCUCGUAGGCGGUUUGUCGCGUCUGCUGUGAAAACUCGGGGCUUAACCCCGGGCCUGCAGUGGGUACGGGCAGACUAGAGUGCGGUAGGGGAGACUGGAAUUCCUGGUGUAGCGGUGAAAUGCGCAGAUAUCAGGAGGAACACCGGUGGCGAAGGCGGGUCUCUGGGCCGUAACUGACACUCAUGAGCGAAAGCGUGGGGAGCGAUCCGG